UUGGAGGGCAAGUCUGGUGCCAGCAGCCGCGGUAAUUCCAGCUCCAAUAGCGUAUAUUAAAGUUGUUGCCGUUAAAAAGCUCGUAGUUGAACCUUGGACCUGGCUGAUCUGUCCUCCUAAUCGAGCGCACGGAUUCGGUCGGGUCUUUCCUUCUGGGGAGCCCUAUGCCCUUCACUGGGUGUAGUGGGGAACCAGGACUUUUACCUUGAAAAAAUUAGAGUGUUCAAAGCAGGCCUUUGCUCGAAUACAUUAGCAUGGAAUAAUAGAAUAGGACA
rnacentral:rRNA from 1 species